GAAUACUUAACGAUUAAAGAAAUGAACUGGGCACAGGGCAAACCACAAUCAUUCGUUGACGCAGACAUGGGGUUUCAUGAUAACAUGGGCCGGUGCUCUACCAUUGAUUUUGCAAAGGUAUUAUAAUUAAGCAAGAAGACAAAGUGUAUGCUGGAAGUGGUUUGUGGUUGCACCGACAAACCCACAAAAGAGAAUAGCAGCUCAUGCCACCACAAGUGCCCAGCAAUGGGUGUCAGGGUGUCCAAGUGCACAUGUUUUUCAGGCAUUACAUGCGUCUCCAGUUUGCUAGGGAUGCAGAAGAGAGCUAUGAAGAAAAACAGAAUAAAACGGGCGGUGUGGCAGUUAAGUGUAACACGUCGAAAGAGAGGCAUUCAAGCAAGAUCUAUGGACGAGCAAUGUUCGAACAGCUUGGGGAGCUGCUGUACCAAGCGCGCCGUACCGGAUUGAAGAGCUGGAAAAGAGUAAGCUGGGCGACACACACAUAGGUAGAGAGGCAUAAGAAGUGGUCAAGGGUUGUUUAUGAGGUGCAAAUAUAGGAAACUGGCGGAAAAUUCGAGUGUGAGUGUGGUCUGUUUGAGCAUAUGGGCAUGUGAUGCUGCCACAUGUUGAAAGCAAGUAUAACUUUAUAUUUUCAGUCAUUGGAAACUCAGUGUGAGUUGGCUUGUGUUGCCGAUUCCGCUGUGAUGCAGGUUAUGGAUGUCCUGGGCUACACAUAGAUACCAGCGAAUUUGAUCCUAAAGAGGUGGGCAAGGGAUGCGAGGGAUUUUUGCCGCCACACCUUCAGAUAUACCAGCGAGACCAUGCUGGAAGCAAGACAAUGACACAUCGACACACAACCCUGUAAGUGCAUGCCAUGGAAUCGGUCCGGCUUGGUGUUGUAUCCGCAGAAGCAUAAGAGAAAAGGGAUGAAGUUGAUUAGAGAUGGUAUCGUAGCUCUUGCCGAGUAUGAUGAUCAUAGAUAUGGUCUAGGGCUGGAAGAUAGGCCUGUAGCAGCAGUCACUGCGACUGCCAAGGCUAAUGAACUUACAACAGAUGCAGACCAUGCAGGUGGAGACAUGCAUCCAUACACUCUGGUUGGUCUAGGGGCACCUGAGAAGAAAAGAAAGCCAGGGUGACCGACGAAUAGCAGCGACAGUGGUUGUUGAUUAGCUGGCCGAGCUCCAGCGUUUUGACAACUGGACUAGCGUGGAGCCUCGACAGCGAUCUAUUUGCACAGUGUGGAGGGGGAGAGCUCUGUUCAUGGCCAAGAUGCCAAAUAGAUCCAGCUGAAGGAUCAUGUGGGACGCGCAUGGCGUGUUAGAGGUAAUAGAUCAAACAUCAACCCUGAGUUGUUCUAAUGCGGAUGAGCCGACGGGCGUGGAGGAGCUGGACACCGGCGACCUUGCUGGUGAGGUGGUGGCCGAGCACGACCCUAAUGCCGAGCGAGCAGGUGAUGUGGGCGAGCCUGCAUCGCUGGAGGAGUACAAUCAGUGUGUCAUGGUGUGGAACUAUGACGAACAGUCAGGUGGAGAAGAGGAAGUGUGCUCGUCCAGCAUGAAACGCUGCCCUCUCUGCUAGCUGCUGGUGAAUCUUUAAUGUACCAGUUGGCGAGGAAUAAAAGUUUAAUGGCUGGAGGUGUGUGUGUCGUUGUAGGAUUAUUCGCUGCUGGUAAUUAGUAGUUAAUGAUGCCAUGUGUGUGGCUGUAUCGUCUUUUGUCUGAAUGGCGUGUGUGCAGUGCCUGCAGUUAAACUUUUGGGCAAGCUAACGAAAAAGAUUUGCCUGGGCAGCUUGUCCAUCCUAUGUUA